GACGAACGCUGGCGGCGUGCUUAACACAUGCAAGUCGAGCGAUGAAGCACCUUCGGGUGUGAAUUAGCGGCGAACGGGUGAGGAACACGUGAGAAAUCUGCCUUCAACUCUGGGAUAACUCCGUGAAAACGGGGCUAAUACCGGAUAUGAAACCUGCGGGCAUCCGCGGGUUUGGAAAGUUUUUCGGUUGAAGAUGAUCUCGCGGCCUAUCAGCUUGUUGGUGAGGUAAUGGCUCACCAAGGCGACGACGGGUAGCCGGCCUGAGAGGGCGACCGGCCACACUGGGACUGAGACACGGCCCAGACUCCUACGGGAGGCAGCAGUGGGGAAUAUUGGGCAAUGGAGGAAACUCUGACCCAACGACGCCGCGUGCGGGAUGAAGGCCUUCGGGUUGUAAACCGCUUUCAGCAGGGAAGAAGCGAAGGUGACGGUACCUGCAGAAGAAGCACCGGCUAACUAUGUGCCAGCCGCCGCCGUAA
rnacentral:rRNA from 1 species